AAUAUUUUAAAAUUUUAUAAAUAUUGAUUCAAAUACAUUCCAAAAUAAAACCCGUUCUGUAAUUUCUUUACCCGUCCCGUGAUUUUUUUUAAAAGUAGUAAUUUUUAAAAUUCAAGAAUUAUUUAUUAUAUAUAAAAAUUUUGCAAAUUGUAUCAUUCUCUAAUAUA
rnacentral:sRNA from 1 species